rnacentral:rRNA from 1 species
CGCGUAGGCGGUCUUUUAAGUCAGAUGUGAAAGCCCGGGGCUUAACCCCGGAAGUGCAUUUGAAACUAAGGGACUUGAGUAUGGGAGAGGGAAGUGGAAUUCCUGGUGUAGCGGUGAAAUGCGUAGAUAUCAGGAGGAACACCGGUGGCGAAGGCGACUUCCUGGACCAAUACUGACGCUGAGGCGCGAAGGCGUGGGGAGCAAACA